rnacentral:lncRNA from 1 species
UUUCUUAGGAGAAGCUUCUUACUAAGUUGUGAAGUUAUGGUUCAAAUUUCGUGAUUUUUGGAGGUCGUUUGACCCCAUUUCAGAUUUUUCUACCAUCUUCGCGUAGGCUGUUUUGGAAUUCUGGAAAUCUCCGGGCCUUCGGAAAUUUCCGAAGGUUUCUUGGGAAAUUUCCACACGUCCGGAAUUUUUUGAAUGUUCCUCCGGAUUUUCCC